rnacentral:rRNA from 1 species
UACGAAGGGGGCUAGCGUUGUUCGGAAUUACUGGGCGUAAAGCGCACGUAGGCGGACUAUUAAGUCAGGGGUGAGAUCCCGGGGCUCAACCCCGGAACUGCCUUUGAUACUGGUAGUCUCGAGUCCGGAAGAGGUGAGUGGAAUUCCGAGUGUAGAGGUGAAAUUCGUAGAUAUUCGGAGGAACACCAGUGGCGAAGGCGGCUCACUGGUCCGGUACUGACGCUGAGGUGCGAAAGCGUGGGGAGCAAACAGG